AAUAUUGCACAAUGGAGGAAACUCUGAUGCAGCGACGCCGCGUGAACGACGAAGGCCUUCGGGUCGUAAAGUUCUGUCCUUGGGGACGAUAAUGACGGUACCCAUGGAGGAAGCCCCGGCUAACUACGUGCCAGCAGCCGCGGUAAUACGUAGGGGGCGAGCGUUGUCCGGAAUUACUGGGUGUAAAGGGAGCGUAGGCGGGAAGGCAAGUUGAAUGUUAAAUCUAUCGGCUCAACCGAUAGCCGCGUUCAAAACUGUCUUUCUUGAGUGAAGUAGAGGCAAGCAGAAUUCCUAGUGUAGCGGUGAAAUGCGUAGAGAUUAGGAGGAAUACCAGUGGCGAAGGCGGCUUUCUGGUCUGUAACUGACGCUGAGGCGCGAAAGCGUGGGGAGCAAACA
rnacentral:rRNA from 1 species